rnacentral:rRNA from 1 species
GACGAGGGGUCCUAGCGUUUUUCGGAAUCACUGGGCGUAAAGCGUAUGUAGGCGGCUUUCUCAGUCGGUUGUGAAAUCCCAUGGCUUAACCAUGGAAUUGCAUUCGAAACUGGAGAGCUUGAGUGUGGGAGAGAUUGGUAGAAUACCUGGUGUAGUGGUGAAAUACGUAGAUAUCAGGUGGAAUACCGGUGGCGAAGGCGGCCAAUUGGCCCAACACUGACGCUGAGAUACGAAAGCGUGGGGAUCAAACAGG